rnacentral:rRNA from 1 species
AUUGAACGCUGGCGGCAUGCCUUACACAUGCAAGUCGAGCGGCAGCGCGGGGGCAACCCUGGCGGCGAGCGGCGGACGGGUGAGUAAUACAUCGGAACGCGUCCUGUCGUGGGGGAUAACCAGUCGAAAGACCGGCUAAUACCGCAUGAGAUCGAAAGAUGAAAGCGGGGGACCGCAAGGCCUCGCGCGAUUGGAGCGGCCGAUGUCGGAUUAGCUAGUUGGCGGGGUAAAAGCCCACCAAGGCUACGAUCCGUAGCUGGUUUGAGAGAACGACCAGCCACACUGGGACUGAGACACGGCCCAGACUCCUACGGGAGGCAGCAGUGGGGAAGUUUUGGACAAUGGGGGCAACCCUGAUCCAGCCAUGCCGCGUGUGUGAGGAAGGCC